AUUCCCUCAGGGUAGCUUGGGCUUCCUGCAUCUUUAACAGUUUAAUUCAGUAAAGAAAAUGAUUAGAGGUCUCAGGGCUGAAAUUAUCUCAAACCAUUCCCAUAGUUUAAUUGGGUAAGAAUCCUGGCUUGCUGGCUUGGCUCAUCGAGCAUAGGAUACGAGUGACUACACUUUUGGUAAGCAGAACUGGUGCCAGUGGGGAACUA